GAAUACGUUCCCGGGCCUUGUACACACCGCCCGUCACACCACGAAAGUUUGUUGUACCCGAAGUCGGUGCCUUAACCUCGCAAGAGGAGAGAGCCGCCCAAGGUAUGGCCGAUGAUUGGGGUGAAGUCGUAACAAGGUAGCCGUAGGGGAACCUGCGGCUGGAUCACCUCCUUUCUAGGAGAGAAGGGUCCUGGAUGAAGCGCUCCUAUUUAGUCUUGUGAAGGAUCCGAGUGGAAGCCGGGACCGGAGAAAGACCGGGCCUGUAGCUCAGAUGGUGAGAGCGCACGCCUGAUAAGCGUGAGGUCGAUAGUUCGAAUCUAUCCAGGCCCACCAUCUGCGGGGAUGUAGCUCAGUUGGGAGAGCGCCUGCUUUGCAAGCAGGAGGUCAGCGGUUCGAUCCCGCUCAUCUCCACCACGG
rnacentral:rRNA from 1 species